UACGAAGGGGGCUAGCGUUGUUCGGAAUUACUGGGCGUAAAGCGCGCGCAGGCGGUUUCUCAAGUCAGUGGUGAAAGCCCGGAGCUCAACUCCAGAACUGCCUUUGAUACUGAAGAUCUUGAGUUCGGGAGAGGUGAGUGGAACUGCGAGUGUAGAGGUGAAAUUCGUAGAUAUUCGCAAGAACACCAGUGGCGAAGGCGGCUCACUGGCCCGAUACUGACGCUGAUGCACGAAAGCGUGGGGAGCAAACAGG
rnacentral:rRNA from 1 species